GGAUUUAUGGGGGUAAAGCGAGCGCGGGCGGUUUUUUAAGUCUGAGGUGAAAGGCUUGGGCUCAACCGAGGAAGGGCAUCGGAAACUGGGAAACUUGAGUGCAGAAGAGGACAGUGGAACUCCAUGUGUAGCGGUGAAAUGCGUAGAUAUAUGGAAGAACACCAGUGGCGAAGGCGGCUGUCUGGUCUGUAACUGACGCUGAGGCUCGAAAGUAUGGGUAGCAAACAGGAUUAGAUACCCUGGUAGUCCAUACCGUAAACGAUGAAUGCUAAGUGUUGGAGGGUUUCCGCCCUUCAGUGCUGCAGCUAACGCAUUAAGCAUUCCGCCUGGGGAGUACGGCCGCAAGGCUGAAACUCAAAGGAAUUGACGGGGGCCCGCACAAGCGGUGGAGCAUGUGGUUUAAUUCGAAGCUACGCGAAGAACCUUACCAGGUCUUGACAUACUAUGCAAAUCUAAGAGAUUAGACGUUCCCUUCGGGGACAUGGAUACAGGUGGUGCAUGGUUGUCGUCAGCUCGUGUCGUGAGAUGUUGGGUUAAGUCCCGCAACGAGCGCAACCCUUAUUAUCAGUUGCCAGCAUUAAGUUGGGCACUCUGGUGAGACUGCCGGUGACAAACCGGAGGAAGGUGGGGAUGACGUCAAAUCAUCAUGCCCCUUAUGACCUGGGCUACACACGUGCUACAAUGGAUGGUACAACGAGUUGGGAACUCGGGAGAGUAAGCUAAUCUCUUAAAGCCAUUCUCAGUUCGGAUGGUAGGGCGGCAACUGGCCUACAGGAAGUGGGAAUCGCUAGUAAUCGGGGAUCAGCAUGCCGCGGGGAAUACGUUCCCGGGCCUGGUACACACCGCCGGUCACACCAGGGGAGUUGGUAACACCCAAAGUCGGUGGGGUAACCUUUGGGAACCAGCCGCCUAAGGGGGACAGAUAUUAGGGGAAG
rnacentral:rRNA from 2 species